rnacentral:rRNA from 1 species
AACGAACGCUGGCGGCAGGCCUAACACAUGCAAGUCGAACGCUGUAGCAAUACGGAGUGGCAGACGGGUGAGUAACACGUGGGAACGUGCCUUUCGGGUCGGAACAACUGAGGGAAACUUCAGCUAAAACCGGAUACGCCCUUCGGGGGAAAGUUUACGCCGAAAGAUCGGCCCGCGUCAGAUUAGGUAGUUGGCGGGGUAAUGGCCCACCAAGCCGAUGAUCUGUAGCUGUUCUGAGAGGAAGAUCAGCCACACUGGGACUGAGACACGGCCCAGACUCCUACGGGAGGCAGCAGUGGGGAAUAUUGGACAAUGGGCGCAAGCCUGAUCCAGCUAUGCCGCGUGGAUGAAGAAGGCCUUCGGGUUGUAAAGUCCUUUCGGCGGGGAAGAUAAUGACGGUACCCGCAGAAGAAGCCCCGGCUAAUUUCGUGCCAGCAGCCGCCGUAACAC